rfam:Gallionellales bacterium RIFCSPLOWO2_12_FTLL_59_22 rifcsplowo2_12_scaffold_51763, whole genome shotgun sequence.
GUCACAGGUGGCGUUGCGUUACAAGCGCGACGCCGUAUGCGCAAUACCUAAACGAAGACGGUAGAUAAG